AAAUAUAAAAUAAUUUUUUGAUUUUUUUUUUGAGAAAUCAAUAUAGCAUGAUUUCUCUGCUGUAAAUAUAUUUGUAUGGACAAUGUAGAAACAAGCAUGUAUAAUAAUCAUAUAGUGUUUAUGUGUAAGAGAGGAAAAUAAAAACAUUUAGAAUAGGACAAAUUAUUUAUGCAUCAUUAUUAACUACAUGGUGCAGAAUUUGUAGGUAGUGCACGUCUUAUAAAAGCAAUCAAAAGUAUGAGAUAGGGAGCUGAACUAGUAUUUCGUCAUCCCUUCUAAUCCCCUCUAGGGGCCACCCUCCCACACCUCGCAUGUCCCACUCGGAAGUUGCCAAAUAGUUAGCAUGUGCGCUUCUGUGCUGACUUUUGGAUCUCCAAGCCGAAAGCUAACCUGAUUUUUUUGCUGAUAUAAUCUUAUCUGGUUCUGUACGGCGACCUCCACUCACAUGAGCAUCACUACGUGACCCCAAGAGUAUUCUUAUCCUCUCCGGUUGGCAAGAAGACGAGAUAACUCUAGUCUUAUCAUCUCCGGUUGGCAAUAUAUGUGGCUACUACAAGUCGAUAUGAACGAAGGAUGGUCCAGGCUUUGAGUUCGUCCUAACAAACUUGGCAAUCUAUUUAGCAAAAUAGAAGUUUAGUUCUUCAGUUGAUUAUGAAUUUGUAAUUGGUGAUUUUUUGAAUAGUAAAGACUAUGGGUUUGGUAUUUAAGUUUAGACUUGGACGCUCUGAACCAAUAUUAGUUUUUAUUUAAUGAAUAAUGAAAAUAGAUUCCUACUUA